UCCUCUAUAGUCUGGUUUGUUAAGCUUUCAACAUCCUUGUUUGUUUCCCACACAUUCUGUUUGACUUUGCAGCUGUUUGAUCUGCUUUUUGUCCCUUUGUUUUCAGUUUCCCCUGUGGUUCCUUCAUGGUCUUGUUUGAUGUGUACUUCUGAACGCCUUAUUACCAUCCUCAAAUUCACUAAAUUUUCAGCAUAUUUCAAGGAAGGAUGAUUUCAAAUGCACACUGUUCUACUUUAAGCACACCAAGAGGAAACUACAGAUUUUACCUGCAAGGAAGGAAAUCAAAUCCAGGACAGGAAAGUAUUUACUACUAAGAGGAAAACAGGAGCAGCCCUAUAUUCAGAGCUUAUGCUAACAACAUGGACUUUUUAGAAUGUCACCCAGCUGACCUGCAGAGAUGAUAAAAAAAAGCAUACCU
rnacentral:lncRNA from 1 species